UACGUAGGGUGCGAGCGUUGUCCGGAAUUAUUGGGCGUAAAGAGCUCGUAGGCGGUCUGUCGCGUCGGAUGUGAAAAUCCAGGGCUCAACCCUGGACCUGCAUUCGAUACGGGCAGACUAGAGUUCGGUAGGGGAGACUGGAAUUCCUGGUGUAGCGGUGAAAUGCGCAGAUAUCAGGUGGAACACCAGUGGCGAAGGCGGCUUCUGGACGGUAACUGACGCUGAGACGCGAAAGCGUGGGGAGCAAACAGG
rnacentral:rRNA from 1 species